rnacentral:rRNA from 1 species
CGUGUAGGUGGCUUCGCAAGUCGGGUGUGAAAUCCCUGGGCUCAACCCAGGACGUGCAUCCGAAACUGCGUCGCUUGAGUGCUGGAGAGGGCAGUGGAAUUCCCGGUGUAGAGGUGAAAUUCGUAGAUAUCGGGAGGAACACCGGUGGCGAAGGCGGCUGCCUGGACAGCUACUGACACUGAGACGCGAAAGCGUGGGGAGCAAACAG